rnacentral:lncRNA from 1 species
CUUUGGGCACAGCACAACACAACCAAGUGAGCACUGGAAACCUGGCACCCAUAGGAUAUUGAAAGUUAUCAGGAUAUUCUUCCCACUCCAAGAUCCAGGAAAGUAACACAUCAAUACAGGACAAGGAGAUGCUUCAACAUCAGAAAUGCAUGGGAGAGGUCAUAGGAAAUGAAACAGACUGCUGUUUUCAUGAGAAGCAUUUACAGAGGGAAAUAAGGACACUCACCAAAUAGGGCUAAUUUGAAGAAGGACACAGCUGACUUAGUAGGAAGAAGGCAGAAGAAUUAUCUCCUGGUAAUCAAGACUCUGAAAAUAAGACUUAAGAUAAAAGACUGGAUACAUGCAAGAACAGAGUUCUUAAAGAUCACCAGCUGAAGAUUGUGAUUUUUCAUUCUUCUAUGCCCUAAGACAGCCAUAUUUUACCAUUUGAAACAUAAAUAAAAAUGACUUCCAGGCUUAUUUGAUUACAGACUGAAUUGCUCUAUCAUAGGAUGACAAGCAAUGACAGAUAGGUUCCCCAUAAAGAAAAGUCUGUGAGACUCCAUAUUUCCUGUAAAAGAUGAUAUGAGGAAACCGGGCAGAUUUUUCUUUCAUUCAUACUCUUUUAUAUGGGGGCAAUAGUACUGUCAAUCUCUAUUAUAUCAUUAGGUUACCUGGAAGGUCUUAUGUUUGGCAGUGGAAUGUAAGUUUUAGGGUAAUUUUUCUGAGUGGCAACCCAAGGCCAAUGUAGUAAAUUUUGAAAGAUCAAUUAAAUUACAGAAAAGGCUUGCAUAACAUAAAUGUGUUCUGCCCACUUGUCAACAUGGGUAAAGAUAUUAAUAUUGUAACAAGUGCAAUGACAGAAUUUCAUUUUCAGACUCCAGACUUCUUAACAGUAGCAGUGGCAAGGCAUCAAACCAGUGAGUUUUGCUUCUU